GGAAUACUAAAGUGUUACUAAAAAUAAAAAAACUAUCGUUUUUGUGAUAGAGGUAACUUUUUGAAAAGGCUA
rnacentral:tRNA from 1 species